rnacentral:rRNA from 1 species
UUAAUUGAGAGUUUGAUCCUGGCUCAGGAUGAACGCUGGCGGCGUGUCUUAGGCAUGCAAGUCGAACGCCCCCACACCAUUACUGUAAAAAUUUCACAGUAAUGGUGUGGGGGAGUGGCAAACGGGUGCGUAACACAUUGGUAACCUACCUUUAUCUCGGCCAUAACUCGGAGAAAUCUGGGCUAAUAGCCGAUGUGUCCAUUUUAUCCCAGAUAAAAUGGGUAAAGAUUUUUCGGAUAAAGAGGGGCCUAUGGUUUAUCAGCUUGUUGGUGAGGUAAAAGCUCACCAAGGCGAUGACGAAUAGCGGGUGUGAGAGCAUGACCCGCCUCACUGGGACUGAGACACUGCCCAGACUCCUACGGGAGGCUGCAGUCGAGAAUCUUCCUCAAUGGCCGAAAGGCUGAAGGAGCGACGCCGCGUGUAGGAAGACGCCCCUUGGGGUGUAAACUACUUUUCUAAAGGAAAAAUUUUUGAUGGUACUUUAGGAAUAAGCCACUGCUAACUUCGUGCCAGCAGCAGCGGUAAUACGAAGGUGGCAAGCGUUAUCCGGAUUUAUUGGGCGUAAAGAGUUCAACGGUGGCUAUGAUAGUCGAAAAUAAAAUCUUAAGGCUCAACCUUAAGCCCGUUUUCGAUACUUUAUAGCUAGAGGGUAGGAGAGGCAAACGGAAUUGCUGGUGUAGUAGUAAAAUGCGUUAAUAUCAGCAAGAACACCAAAGGCGAAGGCAGUUUGCUAGAAUACUCCUGACACUAUACGAACGAAAGCGUGGGUCGCGAAUGGGAUUAGAUACCCCAGUAGUCCACGCCGUAAACGAUGGAUACUAGGUAUUGGAAGUCUCGACCCUUUCAGUAUCGUUUACCUAAGCUAACGCGUUAAGUAUCCCGCCUGGGGAGUACGGCCGCAAGGCUAAAACUCAAAGGAAUUGACGGGAACCCGCACAAGUGGUGGAGCAUGUGGUUUAAUUCGACAAUAAGCGAGAAACCUUACCAGGGCUUGACAUCCUAGGAAAUUCACCGAAAGGAGAAUGUGCCUGCAAAGGAGCCUAGUGACAGGUGCUGCAUGGUCGUCGUCAGCUCGUGUCGUGAGAUGUACGGUUAAGUCCGGAAACGAGCGCAACCCCUGUGAUAUGUUAAAUUGUUCAUGUCAGACUGCCCCCUUUAAGGGGGAGGAAGGAAGGGAUGACGUCAGAUCAGCAUGGUCCUCUGACGCCCUGGGCGACACACGUGCUACAAUGGCUAGUAACAAUGGGUCUUGCGAAACGGUAACGUGGAGCUAAUCCCAUCAAACCUAGUCUCAGUUCGGAUUGAGGUCUGAAACUCGACCUCAUGAAGCUGGAAUCACUAGUAAACGCGCAUCAGCCACGGCGCGUUGAAUACGUUCUCGGGUUUUGUACACACCGCCCGUCACGUCAAGAGAGUCGGUAAUACCCGAAGUCCCAGUUUACUGGGCCGAAGGUAGGAUCGAUAAUAGGGACGAAGUCGUAACAAGGCAUCCGUAGCGGAAGCUGUGGAUGGAUCACCUCCUUU